rnacentral:tRNA from 2 species
AGGAAGGAGAGGGAUUC